UGAGGAAAAAGAAGGAGGGGGAUAGGCUCUGCAGGAAAACACCUAAAAAAAAGUACAAGCAGAGGCUUGCUUGAUCUUAGGGUCAACCUGACCUCUCUCUCUCUCUCUGUGUGAUGAGUUUGAACUUUGAAGGCUUGAAAUUUCCUUCAAGAUUUAACUAUCAUUCAAACAUCGCUCUCUCUUUUUGCUCCUUGACUUUGAUCUUACAAUAUCUCCUUUUCCAUUUUAGUUUUUACUGUGAAGCGUCUUACCGAAACUCUCUCUCUCUCUCUCUCUCUAUAUAUAUAUAUAUAUUCAUGUAUUUAUAUGUAUAUGCUUUGCUAACUUAUACGACUGUCCCCUCUCACUUUUGUUCGCCGUCUGUCUCGUGCUCUGUUUUCCUCUCUUCCUCUCUCGCUCAUAGGAGCGGAGCCGAAGACAUUCGCAGUUUCUGAUUCAUCCCUCUCAGGGCUCAAAUUUUCGCUCCAUGUCAAAAAAUAGCAAAAGGGUGUGUUUCAGUCCUGAUGUCAACGAGAAAUCAACCGUCUUUCUCAAGCACGAUGGCGACGGUGGCAGGUUGUCGCCGGUGAGCUUUUUGCUGCGGCUAGGAGAGACGAUGAUGGCGGGAGCUAUGAAGGUUGUUUCUAUAAGAAGAAGAUCUUCAAGAAAGGUGUCUUCUUCCACCAUGGUUAGGUCACGUUCCUUAUCUGCAGGCUCUUCUGAUUCUCAUCGAGCUGAAGCUGUUGAAGAUUGUAUCGAGUUCUUGCAUUCUUCUUCUUCUAGAGAGAGACCCAGUUGAGAAUCUAUUAUAUGUUAUCCCAGAAACAUGAUAUGGCGUGAAAAAAAAAAUAAUAUUGUGUUUCGAUGUAAUCUGAGGAUUGUCUUGUUUUUGUUUCUGAAGAAUUAGUCCUGCGUUGGUCGUUCUGUAGAAUUUGAAGAGAUGCUCGUCUGAUUUUUGAUGAAUUUGUUCAUGAAAUGAGUAAGAAACUAGUUAGAUAGAAUUGCAAAUUGCAAUCUCUUAUUGAUUAGAGUUCUCUGAGAGUCAAUCUAAUUCGCCACCAUAUUUUUGGUA